rnacentral:rRNA from 1 species
AGUGAACGCUGGCGGCAUGCCUAACACAUGCAAGUCGAACGACAGCACACUAAGCUUUUUCUUUUACUGUUGGCGAGUGACGGACGGGUUACGCGUACAUCACAUUCUUCUUUUUCUUGGAUGACUUCGUAGAACCAUUUCCAAUAAUACCUCAUAUUUUCUACCGCUUAGAUCAAGAGUUCUUCUGACUUUGCCCGUCUCUUUGAGCUGAUUUCGCAUUAGCUAGUUGGCUGGGUAAAGUACCACCAAGGCAACGAUGCAUAGCUGAUCUGAGAGGAUGAUCGGCCACACUGGAACUGAGACACGGUCCAGACUCCUACGGGAGGCAGCAGUAGGGAAUAUUGGACAAUGGGCGAAAGCAUGACGCAGCAAUGCCGCGUGAGUGAAGAAGGCCUUCGGAUUGUAAAACCCUUUUAUUGGGAAAGAAAAGAAGUAGAAGAAAACCUGGAUAUUUUGACGGUACCUAAAGAAAAAGCACCGGCUAACUACGUG